GCUGUUUUAAGCGGUUGAGGGAGGGCUCUUGUCUUCCAUCUGCAGAGCUUGCAUGGGACAGGUGGUCCCAGUGCAAGCUGGCGUUGCGCUGUUGCUCAGCCUGAUAGCUACGCUACAGUUGGGCGUAGCGUUCCUCCUGUUCUUCAGCUUGUAGCUGGGCUCUGCGUUGGCAGAGGAGGACCAUUUCUGCAAGUACGUCGGGGAUGGAGCGUUGUGGCUUCUCACACAUGUCAUUGAUGUGGAGGAGACCAGCGACCGUAUCCUGCUUCAGCUACUAGCUUACGGAAGUCUUGCUGAUUCAUUUCACCACUCUGUUAGAGAGGACACGCAAUUAAUAUUUGUACAAGAACCACAGGGGGAUUCAACAGAGCCUGAAGACUCCCUGCAAUGAGACAGCAACCUCGCACCAAGUCUCAGCUCCCUGAGUUUUGUAAGCCUUUCCGUGUUACGUAUCUUUAAUAAAACAUAACAUUAAGCUUG